rnacentral:rRNA from 1 species
UACGGAGGAUCCAAGCGUUAUCCGGAUUUAUUGGGUUUAAAGGGUGCGUAGGCGGCCUAUUAAGUCAGGGGUGAAAGACGGGUAGCUUAACUAUCGCAGUGCCCUUGAUACUGAUGGGCUUGAAUAUACUAGAGGUAGGCGGAAUGUGACAAGUAGCGGUGAAAUGCAUAGAUAUGUCACAGAACACCAAUUGCGAAGGCAGCUUACUAUGGUAUUAUUGACGCUGAGGCACGAAAGCGUGGGGAUCAAACAGG